rnacentral:rRNA from 1 species
UUAGUUUUUUAAUUGAAGGCUAGAAUGAAUGGUUGGACAAGAAAUAAUCUGUCUUAAAUUAAUAUAUUGAAUUUAACUUUUAAGUGAAAAGGCUUAAAUGAUCUAAGGGGACGAUAAGACCCUAUAAAACUUUAUAUUUUAAGGUGGAAAAUAAUUUUAUUUUAAAAUUACUAUUUUAAAUUAUUUUGUUGGGGCGACAAGGAUAUAAGAAAGGAUAACUGUCUUUUAUUUUUACAAUAAUAUUUGAAUUAUUGAUCCUAAAAGGGAUUAAAGAUUAAGUUACUUUAGGGAUAACAGCGUAAUUUUCUUUGAGAGUUCUUAUCGACAAGAAAGUUUGCGACCUCGAUGUUGAAUUAAAGGUUCUUUAUAGAGUA